rnacentral:snRNA from 1 species
GGAUGAGUUCAGACUGCAGCAUAUGAUUUCAGCUCUUUUAGUAUUUGUCCAGUAGGUUUCCCGCUGUGUGGGAAGCCCCAACUGAUCUGGCUGGCUAGGCGGGUGUCCCCUUCCUCCCUCACCGCUCCAUGUGCAUCCCUCCUGAAGCUGCGCGCUCGGUCGAAGAGGACGACCUUCCCCGAUAGAGGCGUACCGUUCAUCGGUCAAGGGUAUACGGUAGCUGCGCUCCCCUGCUAGAACCUCCAAACAAGCUCAAGGUCCAUUUGUAGGAGAACGUAGGGUAGUCAAGCUUCCAAGACUGCACACACAUCCAAGUGAGGCACUGCAUGGGUUGGUCUCUUCUC